rnacentral:tRNA from 1 species
GUGGUUGUGGCUCAGUGGUAGAGGUCUUGCCUGGCAUGUGUGAGGCACUGGGUUCAAUUCUCAGCACCACA